CUCUUAAAACUUCUCUCAGUUCGGACUGGAGUCUGCAACUCGACUCCACGAAGGCGGAAUCGCUAGUAAUCGCGAAUCAGCAUGUCGCGGUGAAUACGUUCCCGGGUCUUGUACACACCGCCCGUCAAAUCAUGGGAGUCGGAAGUACCCAAAGUCGCUUGGCUAACUUUUAGAGGCCGGUGCCUAAGGUAAAAUCGAUGACUGGGAUUAAGUCGUAACAAGGUAGCCGUAGGAGAACCUGCGGCUGGAUCACCUCCUUUCUAAGGA
rnacentral:rRNA from 1 species